rnacentral:lncRNA from 1 species
GCACGCAGGGCCGCUGAGGGGCGUACGCGGGACUCGAGUGACGUGAGCACGCACGUAGGACCUACACAGACACAGGAAGCAUCAACUCUGAGGCUUUGGCCAGGAUGUGAGCCCGACUUUCGCAGCCCCAACUGGCAGGCUGACCUCAUGUGAACUCCCUGGCGAUGGCAUCCUGGAGACACCCACAUGGCUGAGCUGGCACCAUAGGCACUCAUAAUCCAGGUUCAGUUUCUGCCAGCACUAAUUUGGUUUAUUCCACAUGGCUGGAGCCACUGCGGGACUCCAUUUGUUCCGGGGCCACCUUCCUGUCACCUUUUACUGUUUCUUGAGUCAGCAAGAAAGGCAGAUCCGACUGAAGACUCCAGCACUCUCCUCAGCUGCAGCCCCCACAGAGCUCCGCGAAGUCCUUUCUCCCACAGGACAGAUCUGAGGCACCCACCAUUAGAAGAAAGGAGUGGAGAAAUGAUAUGCAGGAAGAAGGCCCAUUCUGAUUCACCAAUCGCAUGGACGCACUUUCCUACCAGGCUAGGAGGGAGGAAAGUAGAGCCCCACCCUGACUGCUAAGCCGUUUGCUUUGGUGUCAUGAAAAAAGAGUUCAGCUUCCCAAAUCAGAGAGGAAAAGGUUUUCAAGGGGUCCCCUAUUUCUAUUAUGUAAGCUUUAAAUGACAAAGUGGACCUCUGGGGCCAACGUGGGUGUGUGAUGGUGGUUUUGUGGGAUUCUCCCCAUAGCCCCAUCAGACGGCCUCACCUUCUGGGUCUCAGUGGCCCCAGGUGCAACACGGCUCCUCCAGAAAUGAUGACAGCCCUGGCGACCAAGGACUCCCUGUGCCACUGGGUUUGCGCUCAGAAGUAUAUUCAAUGAUUUCCCCAGAAAAUUCCAAGUCAUCUCCUAAUACUGUUUGUGAAAACUAAA